rnacentral:rRNA from 1 species
GAUGAACGCUGGCGGCGGGCCUAAUACAUGCAAGUCGAGCGGAAGGACGAUAAGCGCGUGUCCCUGAGGGUGGCGGCGGACGGAUGAGUAACACGUAGAUAAGCUACCUCUAAUACUGGGAUAACAACGGGAAGCCGGAUCCAAUAACGCCUGAUAUUUCGUACCGCUUGGAUCAGAAGUGAAAGACGGUCUUGCUGUCUCUUAUAGAUGGUUCCGCGCUGAAUUAGCUAGUUGGUAAGGUAACGGCAUACCAAGGCAACGAUGCAUAGCCGAGCUGAGAGGAUGAUCAGCCACACUGGAACUGAGACACGGUCCAGACUCCUACGGGAGGCAGCAGUGGGGAAUCUUGCACAAUGGGCGCAAGCCUGACGCAGCAAUACCGCGUGAGUGAAGAAGGUCUUCGGAUCGUAAAGCUCUGUUAUUAGGAAAGAACAUAUGUGUAAGAAACUGCGCCCAUCUUGACGGUACCUAAACAGAAAGCCACGGCUAACUUCGUG